ACACGUUAACCAAGCAAUAUGUAUUUCUUUCUCUAAACUUUAUAGUUGGGCGUUGAAAGUUGAUACGCGUGAUCGAUC
rfam:Drosophila willistoni strain TSC#14030-0811.24 scf2_1100000004943 genomic scaffold, whole genome shotgun sequence.